rnacentral:rRNA from 1 species
AGUGAACGCUGGCGGUAGGCCUAACACAUGCAAGUCGAACGGCAGCACAGUAAGAGCUUGCUCUUACGGGUGGCGAGUGGCGGACGGGUGAGGAAUACAUUGGAAUCUACUUUUUCGUGGGGGAUAACGUAGGGAAACUUACGCUAAUACCGCAUACGACCUACGGGUGAAAGCAGGGGAUCUUCGGACCUUGCGCGAUUGAAUGAGCCGAUGUUGGAUUAGCUAGUUGGCGGGGUAAAGGCCCACCAAGGCGACGAUCCGUAGCUGGUCUGAGAGGAUGAUCAGCCACACUGGAACUGAGACACGGUCCAGACUCCUACGGGAGGCAGCAGUGGGGAAUAUUGGACAAUGGGCGCAAGCCUGAUCCAGCCAUACCGCGUGGGUGAAGAAGGCCUUCGGGUUGUAAAGCCCUUUUGUUGGGAAAGAAAAGCAGCAGGUUAAUACCCCGCUGUUCUGACGGUACCCAAAGAAUAAGCACCGGCUAACUUCGUG